rnacentral:lncRNA from 10 species
GGCUGCGUGCUCCGUGGAGCUGGCCGGAGCCCCACCCUCUUCUGAGUUGGCCGGGUGGGAGCCCCACGCUUUCCGGCACAGCUGCAACCACCCAGCCACAGCUGCAGACCUGGACAUCCCUGUGCUCUCGGGGGCUGGGAAGACCCCCUGACCCGCAGGCUUGGAAGUGCCUGCUCCUGCUGCCUGGCCUCUCCUUGCUCCUGGAGCCCACUCUGGGGUGGAGCAAAGUUGUGGCUGAGGCCAAGCGCUGUCUAGACCCAGCUGGGUGUGCGUGCGCCUGGGGCGCCGCUGACAUGCCAGCCCCCUGCCACCCUGGCCCCCUCUAGGCUUUGGGCACUGAGAAGCACAGGAGAGAGGCUGGCGGCGUGGGGUGGGGGAGCUGAGGGCACUCGGUGCGGGCUGCCGGUACUCCUCUGCAGGAACAGCCUGGGCGCUGUGGAUGACAUGAUUGAUGGUGGCAGGAGGCAGACAGGCUCCUGGGCGGAAAGAGGUGGGUCCCCGGUAAAGCCCCACCAUCAAGCCAGGGAGGCCUGAAGCCCAGGGGCUAGGCUGUCAGUCCCGGGUGAAGUCUGUGGCCCGGAGUGAGAACUUAUGGUGAUUUUUCCGGGUCAGCCCAUGGCCACCCAUGGGCCAAUCAGCAUGCACUUCCUCCCUUCUGAGCCUAGCCAGACUCACACAGACGCUGGGACUACCAGCUGUGGGAAGGAGCUACCCAAUUCAGGUCUCCUCGACUCAUCAAGACAACCUGCCUGAAGAAGGGAGCUACCCACUCUGGGUCUCUUCUCCACUGAGAGCUGGACACUUACUGGGACAACCUGCCUGCGGAAAGGAGCUACCCACUUCAAGUUUCCCGAGAGCUGUUCUGUCACUCGAUAAGGCUCCUCUCCGCCUUGCUCACCCUCUAGUUGUCCGCGUACCUCAUUCUUCCUGGAUGUGGGACGAGAACUCAGGACCCACUGAAUGGCGGGACUGAAAGAGCAGUAACACAAACAGGGCUGAAACACGCCCUCCUCCCGUCCCCACACCCCCGCGACUUGCCAUGUUGCGGGUGAUGUGAAGGAGAGAAGUGCUGUGGCCCUUCAGGGAGCACAGACCUAGGGGCUCCCUGAGCCAGGGCUGUGACACCCUCUUUGGGGCUCUGCGGUUUCUGGUAUCUUCAAACUUCCGGGCACCACUGCAUUCCCCUUGUCCAGACACAGGUGCCCACAGCAGAAGCCGCUUGUGGUUCAUCAGAUCCAGCUGCAGACUUGCAUAGAACCGGCACCUUUGCCGGCGCCUGGAGCUGCCUGCCCAGCUGCAGCAGCUGGUGUGUCCGGCUCUGCGCAGUGGCCAGACCCUGCGUUCGCUCGCCUGCACACCCCUCGCUGUUCCGUGCCUGGCUCACCCUCGGCAGGCGUGGAAUCCUGGCUGGUAGCAUGAGCUGAGCACAGCCUGCCAGGCCACGUCAGUGGAACAAGUCUGGCGGGCCUGAUCAAAACUCAGGCAAAGGCACCACUGGUCACAGAGCUUUCUAGCUGGAAAAGCAACACCUGAAGGAUCCCGUGACACAAUCAACCUGCUAGGAGAUCCCUGCCACCCUGAGAGGCUGCAGGAAGCUGCCUCCAUCCAGGCCUCUUCACAGAAGGAGAAUUGCAGAGACCGUAGGAUUUUUCUACUCACAGGAACAGAUGGUGUCCGGUCAGGAAGGUAAAAUGCUUCAAGAAAAGUGCAAUAGGGAUUAUAAUACUGAUGAUCUGAGACUCUGAUAAUGACUCUGAGAUGAUUCCCAAUUCUAUGAUGAAUCAUCUCAGAAUGACUCCGAGAUGAUGAUUCCUGAUUCUACGAUGAUUGAGGCAGAGCUCACUGGUUGGUGAAUCUAGUUGGUAGAGCUGAGGCACCGCAAUACCAUCAUUUCUUUCUGAGGAAAUCUAAAGAUGAAAGAAUUCAUCACUAAAACUGUACUACGAGAAAUGCUAAAGGAAGUUGUUCAAACUGAUGGAAAAUUAUACCAGAUGGACACUUGAAUUUGCCCAAAGGAAUGAAGAGCACCAGAAAUGGCA